AAGAACAGGGAGGUACAAGUGGCCGAGGGUUUAUCUUGUGUUGCACAGAUUUCCACUUAACUUGCUCAUCACCAAACUUUGAAGGUAGUAUCGGAUUUAUUUAUGUUGAUUUUGCACUCGAUUCGAUGGUUCUAAAUGAUUUAAUCUCACACAAGCUGUGUUGAAUUUUGAUAAAGCUGGUACACUGCCUUCAAAUCUGGCUGUAUCUGGGAACAAAAAUAACAGUUGCAGAAAUUUGGGGUUUUUGGAGGAGUGAAGUUGGGUAGAAGCUUUCGGGCUUCGGUGGUCUUCUUGGUUAUAAUGGUUCUCCACAUCGUGGCUAUUUUAUUGUUUACUAGAGGUAAUCUCCUUCUCAAUCAGGCCGAACUUUCCCAAUAUAGUCGAUGCUCCGAUGUUUUCGAGUCUCCUUGUUUCCUCCUUAUGAUCACAAUGUUAACAACUCCUGUGGAGCAAUGGCUAACAUGACGAAACCUGCAGUUGACGGGGCUCGUUGUAAUUGUUCUCGAUACUCGCAGGUAUUCUUCAUAUUGCUCUCUGGAGAAGUAAAUUUAGCCUGAUUAAUCAUUAAAUCAAAACUCUUUUACUAUAAAACAAUAUCCAUACCACAUUUUAAAAAUCCUGAUUUAUAGGUUUGAUUUUGUUACUCCAAGUACCUUCUAUGCAGGCAAGGACUUCGACUUCAUUGUGAAUCAGUUUGCUUUUGCAUUUUCACAUGUCCCGUGAUACGCAUUUUCCUACAGAACUAUGUUUUUUUAAUGUUCUAUAUUCGAGUAGCUUUGCCAAACCAUUUACCAUUUAUUCCAUUUUUAUUGAUAAGAAUUUCCACAAGUGAAACCAUGGAUGAAUAAGCUAUAUUCAGUUACACUGUCUAAAGGUGAUGAUCUUAUGUUUUAUCAUUUUAUUUUUGAAAUUUUAUUAAGUGACUUGAGGGUCUUUCUAGAGUUGGUUAAUAGGUCACUCUAUUCCCUCAUUAGACUAAACAAAGUUGCAUUGAUGUCUGUGUUUUAUGGUCUAGUUUUUGUACACUUAGCUGGAUAUUAGAUAUUUGAGGAAUUUUAAAUUGACCUUCUUACAAUGUGGAAACUGCAAAAUAGCCUUACACUUUGAUUCUUUGUUUAAAAGGCCUUGUUUUUAUGUAAAUAUCUUAACUAUCCAUACUAGAAGCGACACUAAUUGAGUCAAAUUGACCCUAACCUGUUAAAAUCAACAUAUUUCUAUAUUGACCCCAAAACAGGUCGAAAUCAACACUUGUUUGCUACCUAAACCAAUACAAAUCAACAUAUUUCUAGUAGUACUUCCUAUCAACCUGCAUUGAAGGUUAAGUUUGUUAUUUUUGAUAUCUCUAUCCUUAAAUUUUAUUUCCAUCAUUAAUUAGUCAUUCUACUGCUGUUGGGGCAGAGAAAUUUAAUAAUAUCUUCUAAUUGUUGUGCUAAUGGAAAUAUCUCUUUUUCACUCUUGAAUUUUUGCCCUUCUAAAGUAUUGUCUAACUUUUUAGGAUGAGAAUUUACUAUUCAAAACCCAUCACCCUGCCAGUUGGCAAAGAAAAGAAAGAAACACAAAGUAUUCUUGUUCAUAUUGAAUUUCAGGUACUUAAUUAGCAUGCUUGCAUUUGUGCGAUCUUCCAUCCUAUCUAUUGUGAAUACAAGCUUGUAAAUUUAAGAAAGACAGAGAAGUCAGAUUUGUUAUUGAAGCCAUACAUUCUAUGUUAAGGUGCUACAACUUUGUCGCAAGCAAAAGUUCAUUCUUGAACAUUUAAAUUCACCGAGAAUUUCGAGGAAAUUAUGUAUAUUACAUUAUUGAAUUGACAAGAAUAAUCUAAACUACAUGUGGAUUAAGUUUUGUUGAAGUUUCCUUUUUAAGCAAAUUGGAUGUUGCAAUUUUUAUUGAUGCAUUAGAGUUUUAUUAUAGUAUUAGGUGCAAAAGCAUAUUUUUAAAUUAUGAUGCACCGACAAGGACACGUGUCUCCGAAACGAUACGUAUUGGAUAUGUUGAUAUCCGAUUUUUCAAAAAGUAGCGAUACUAUACAUCACCGGCAUGUUGAUUGAAUUCUUUAAAAUUUUUCAUUUAUAUAAUAUAAGUUUAAUUUUAUACUUUAUUAAUUUUUCUUAUUGAAAUAUUUCAAAUAUAAGUAUCUAUUUUUUAUUUACUAAUAACUUUGAGUUAAAAAUAUACAAUAUUUUUAAUAAAAAUUGAAUUUUUUUAUCGUAGAGUGUUCGAGAAGUGUCAGUAUCGACACAUGUCUGACACGGACACUUUACCCUAGUUGAAGUGUCCAUACUACAAAGUUUUUAAAUAAAGCUUUCUCAAAUCCUAUCUACAUGAUCCAAGAUUUGAUAUAUGCGGGGAUGGAAUUGUGUCCAGAUCAUCAAGGAACAAAGAGACUGUUAAUUUCCAUAAUGACCCUCUACAACUUGAAAUGCAUGUAUAUUUCUAUCCCUCCAAAUCUCUAGCACGAGGAACUGUGGUUCCAUGAGCCAACUUCUAGUUUUGUUUUCCCAGCAACUUUUUUGACAAACAGAAGUAAUUUCUGCACAGGGGCAUGCACUAAUAACAAAGACCUUGAAAUUUGACACCAAAACUCAAAAACACCUCAUUGCAACGGGCUAAUGGAAAAAUGUUUACGCUUGUUUUCUAGUCUCUUAUGAGCCCCUGAGAGAUGAAAUUUUAAAAUUCUGUUUGAAGAGGACUGUUUAAACAACCAUUGGAUUAAACAAAUUGAUGAUCAAGUUUUGUGUAUAAAGGCAUGGCACAUUUUACUUCAAUUUAUCUUUGAUGCCAUAUUAUUUUUUUUGGGGCUUGACAACUGGUGGACUUCCCACUUUUAUUGACGUAGAAAACAGCUAUGGUGCACUAUCAAUGCAGAAGGUAACUUGAUACAUCAGGUCUGGCACUGUAUUUGAUUUAGGCUUUGGCAUCAGAUGCAUCUAAUUUAAUUUCUUAUAUAACAGUUAAUUUGUUUGCCAACGUUCAUAAUUUUUGUCUUUAUUUCCUUCUUUUAUCAUGCCUCUCACUCAGUCACGUUAAAGAUCUUCAUACGGCAUGCAUUACUUUUCAUCAAUGUUUUUGCUCAAAAUCUAUCGUGCUCAUGAAACAACGAUGUGUUUUUAAUUUAAUGUUCUAUUUAAAUAUCUAAAUAAGUUUUCUUUUCCUAAUAUUUAGCUCCCUCUUGAGAUCUUUAUGGCCUUGUCUGUCAGGUGGAUGGCAGGUGCAUCAAGAACUUGCUUCCAACCCUGUACAGAGAGUAUUUGCUCAUAGUACCCUUUCUUGGAGUGGUAUGAUUUCUGCUUAUUUUCAUUAUUUUGGUUGCUAAUUUAUUAGAAGCUAGUUUAUUUAUUCUCCAGAUAUGGGAGAAGUGUAGCGACGGAAAAAAAAAUAAAAAAAAAUGUUGUGUUUCGUUUUAAAAUAAAAUUUUCUUGUAGUACUCGAAUAUAAUUUGGGUUGUAUUA
rnacentral:lncRNA from 1 species